AUUCUAGGUUUGUCUUUGUGAUAAUGUCCUAAGACAGUCGAUAUUUAUGAGGAUUCAAACUUACCGAGUAAAAGAAUGUUUUACAUCUUAAAUUACUUCCACAAGUAAUCUUUAUUUGAAAAGCAUGAGCAAAUUCCUCAAGUAAAGCUGUUUUUAUUUUUUAUUUUUUAAAUCUAUUUUUAUUUAUUAUAGUAGGUAAGCUUGGAAAAAUUUGAUCACAAAUACAAAUGGUUACCUAAUUUUUUUAUUUAUUAAAAUCACGAAUCAAAUAAUAAUCCACUUGUUUUUUAAGCUACAUGUCGUCUACUGUUCAAUUACUGGCCUGUACUGAAGGAACGCCGUUUGCUGGUUCCCCGCUGGCUCCGCAGCAGUUUCACUUUGUCUGGACUUUGAAGAAGAAGAUUGCAAAAUGAAUGGGCUUCCAGCUUUUUGUCAGUUGAUCAUCAUCGUACACAGCAAAUCAUGAGUUCAAAAGUUUGUUUUUUUCACCCUUUGGUCUUGUUAAAGAUGCUAGGCUAGUUGUAUACCCAACAACUCAAAAGCCAAAAGGGUUUGGUUUUGUUACGGUUCGAGUCGGAGACUGAUGCGCACAAGGCAUUGGAGGCCAUGAAUGGCAGGAUUGUUAUGGAAGGCUGAUCUUUGUUGAAGUGGCAAAAAACAUGGAGUGAUCGAGUACGAUUCUCUUUUAUUUCCCCAAUUUUGUUGGGUGGUUAGGAAACCAAAAGGGUGAGCAUGACCAAAUGUUGCUACAAGCGUAUUGCAAGACAAAUUAGGACUCUUGUAGAGAGAAGAAUUUGUAAAAGGAGAAAGUUAAUGCAUUUGAUUUUAUACUUUGCCUAAGCACUUGAUUGUAUUCAUGCUUUUGCCUGAACGAGCAACUUGACUUAAUGAUUGUAAAAGGAGAAGUUACAUUAUUGUAAAGUUUGCUCAGUAUUACCAAUAAAACGAAAUUGAGUGGAUUCCAGUUAA